ensembl:lncRNA
AAGAGGAAGAAGGUGGGUUGCUGGAGCUGGAUGUUCUAAACUUCCUUUCUCCAACUUCUUCCCAAAUGGAAGCUAAAAAUGAUGAUCUCCAGUUGGUAAUUAACGCUAAGAAACAGCAGAAGAAGAGAUUCUCCUGCUGUUUCAAGAGCGAGAGAGGAGGACAAAAUGGUAAAAAAAGUAAAGAAAGAGAAGAGGAAGAAGGUGGGUUGCUGGAGCUGGAUGUUCUAAACUUCCUUUCUCCAACUUCUUAUCAAAAAAUGAAAAAACAAAAUGAAACUCUCCAGAAAGAAAAACUGGAUCUGGAGAUUAAAAAUGAAAAUCUACAGACAGAAAAACUGGAUCUGGAAGCUAAAAAUGAUGAUCUCCAGUUGGUAAGUAACGCUAAGAAACAGCAGAAGAAGAGAUUCUUCUGCUGUUUCAAGAGUGAGAGAGGAGGAGAAAGUGGUAAAAAAAAAGUAAAGAAAGAGAAGAGGAAGAAGGUGGGUUGCUGGAGCUGGAUGUUCUAAACUUCCUUUCUCCAACUUCUUAUCAAAAAAUGAAAAAAAAAAAUGAAAAUCUCCAGAAAGAAAAACUGGAUCCAGAGAUUAAAAAGGAAAAUCUACAGACAGAAAAACUGGAUCUGGAAGCUAAAAAUGAUGAUCUCCAGUUGGUAAGUAAUGCUAAGAAACAGCAGAAGAAGAGAUUCUUCUGCUGUUUCAAGAGUGAGAGAGGAGGACAAAAUGGUAAAAAAAAAAGUAAAGAAAGAGAAGAGGAAGAAGGUGGGUUGCUGGAGCUGGAGGUUCUAAACUUCCUUUCUCCAACUUCUUACCAAAAAAUGAAAAAAAAAAUCAAAAUCUCCAGAAAGAAAAACUGGAUCUGGAUAUUGAAAAUGAAAAUCUACAGACAGAAAAACUGGAUCUGGAAGCUAAAAAUGAUGAUCUCCAGUUGGUAAGUAAUGCUAAGAAACAGCAGAAGAAGAGAUUCUUCUGCUGUUUCAAGAGUGAGAGAGGAGGAGAAAAUGGUAAAAAAAAAAGUAAAGAAAGAGAAGAGGAAGAAGACUGGUUGCUGGAGCUGGAUGUUCCAAACUUCCUUUCUGAAACUUCUUCCCAAAUGGAAGCUAAAAAUGAUGAUCUCCAGUUGGUAAGUAACGCUAAGAAACAGCAGAAGAAGAGAUUCUUCUGCUGUUUCAAGAGUGAGAGAGGAGGAGAAAAUGGUAAAAAAAAAGUAAAGAAAGAGAAGAGGAAGAAGGUGG